rnacentral:rRNA from 1 species
AUGACAUGGGUGGUAGGACGAGGAGCAGCAGGCAGGAGGGGAACGGCUCGGGCGGUUGUGGCAUGGGAGAGGCCAUGCCAGAGAAGUUUCGGGCAUGCCAGAGAAGUUGAUUUUUAUCUUAAUAUUUUCAUUGUCUAUCACAUCUUAUUUACUGUGCUUGUUACAGUCGCAUUGGCUGAAAGAAGUUUUUUGAAGUUGUUAUUGAAGAAUUAUUUGAGGUCAACAAUGACUCAAAAGAGGUUAAAUGGUUUGGCUACAUUAUGCAUCGAGAAGAAAUUAUUGGAUGGGAUUGACAUCGACCCCAUCAUAUGUGACUUUGCAUCGAGGAAUGAUAGAAGAAAUUUUAAGGUAAUAUGUAUAAAUUAUUUGAUACACAUACUGAUUUUGGAUGCAUUUAAGUGUUAUUGGCAAUAA